AACGAACGCUGGCGGCGUGCCUAAUACGUGCAAGUCGAGCGGACAGAAGGGAGCUUGCUCCCGGAAGUUAGCGGCGGACGGAUGAGUAACACGUGGGCAACCUACCCUGUAGAUCGGGAUAACAUCGAGAAAUCGGUGCUAAUACCGGAUAAUCAUUUGAAGUGCAUGCUUCGAAUGUAAAAGAUGGCUCCGGCUAUCACUACGGGAUGGGCCCGCGGCGCAUUAGCUAGUUGGUAAGGUAAUGGCUUACCAAGGCAACGAUGCGUAGCCGACCUGAGAGGGUGAUCGGCCACACUGGGACUGAGACACGGCCCAGACUCCUACGGGAGGCAGCAGUAGGGAAUCUUCCGCAAUGGACGAAAGUCUGACGGAGCAACGCCGCGUGAGUGAUGAAGGUUUUCGGAUCGUAAAGCUCUGUUGUUAGGGAAGAACAAGUGCCGUUUGAAUAAGGCGGCACCUUGACGGUACCUAACCAGAAAGCCACGGCUAACUACGUGCCAGCCGCCGCGGUAACAC
rnacentral:rRNA from 1 species